rnacentral:misc_RNA from 1 species
AAAACCAAUUCAUUGAUUACGAUUUCUUAUUGUAAGAGAAAAAGAAAAUUUUAAUCAUUAAAAUGGCGAAUGAAUUGACGUACGCAAACCUAAAUGGGUAUGUGGCUAUCAAUAGUUUGUAAGAAAACUCACAAAUAGAAGAAUGAAUGAAUCAUUUAUCCACAAUUUGCAUAGCCAUGGAUAGACCAAGAUUUAUCGCAUCUAAGACAGAGACCAGACACGGUGCCUGCAGAGAUGAUGAGAUACACGUGGCAAGCAAAAUACCAUGGCAAAGGGGCGUUUGUCACACAGCAUUGAGUGACCUUAGUGGUGUUGUCAACUAGUUGAGACAAGAUUGGGAAGCACAAAGGACAAUUUUUGCUGUUGAUGAGGAAAAAUUAGAAGUUUCUAUUUGUCCUAGCAAACACACAACACAACUAAGGACCCCAUAUAUGGGUUCCUCAUUUAUAAGGACUCACUGUAAUUGGAAACGUUGCAUGAGUCUUAUGGGUGGGACCCCAACCCUAAUUUUGUGCUAAUAAAGUGGGCAAUCGUACAAUUGCUCGAGGCUAUAUAGCUACUCAUCAUUAUCACCCAAAGCUUUCACUAUUAUUAUAAUAAUAAAACAAUUGUUUUUAUGACAAAUUUACCCAUGAAGGGCGUGGUUUAUCUUGAGCAAAAAGUUUCCAUUGAUU